ACUUAGUGGCGAACGGGUGAGUAACGCGUGAGUAACCUGCCUUCAAGAGGGGGACAACAGUUGGAAACGACUGCUAAUACCGCAUAACACAGUUUAAUCGCAUGGUUUUACUGUCAAAGGAGCAAUCCGCUUGAAGAUGGACUCGCGUCUGAUUAGAUAGUUGGUGAGGUAACGGCUCACCAAGUCUACGAUCAGUAGCCGGACUGAGAGGUCGAUCGGCCACAUUGGGACUGAGACACGGCCCAGACUCCUACGGGAGGCAGCAGUGGGGGAUAUUGGUCAAUGGGGGAAACCCUGAACCAGCGACGCCGCGUGAGGGAAGAAGGUUAUUUGAUUGUAAACCUCUGUCGUCAGGGAAGAAAAUGACGGUACCUGACAAGGAAGCACCGGCUAACUACGUGCCAGCAGCCGCGGUAAUACGUAGGGUGCAAGCGUUAUCCGGAAUCACUGGGUGUAAAGGGAGUGUAGGCGGGAAAGCAAGUUGAAUGUGAAAUCUAUCGGCUCAACCGGUAGGCUGCGUUCAAAACUGUUUUUCUUGAGUGAAGUAGAGGCAAGCAGAAUUCCUAGUGUAGCGGUGAAAUGCGCAGAUAUUAGGAGGAAUACCGGUGGCGAAGGCGGCUUGCUGGGCUUUUACUGACGCUGAGGCUCGAAAGUGUGGGGAGCAAACAGGAUUAGAUACCCUGGUAGUCCACACUGUAAACGAUGAUUAUUUAGGGGGGGGGGGACUGUCCCCUUCUGUGCCGGAGUUAACACUAUAAGUAAUCCACCUGGGGAGUACGGCCGCAAGGUUGAAACUCAAAGGAAUUGGCGGGGCCCCGCACAAGCAGUGGAGCAUGUGGUUUAAUUCGAAGCAACGGGAAGAACCUUUCCAGGUCUUGACAUCCGACUAACGAAAUAGAGAUAUAUUAGGUGCCCUUCGGGGAAAGUCGAGACAGGUGGUGCAUGGUUGUCGUCAGCUCGUGUCGUGAGAUGUUGGGUUAAGUCCCGCAACGAGCGCAACCCUUACCAUUAGUUGCUACGCAAGAGCACUCUAAUGGGACUGCCGUUGACAAAACGGAGGAAGGUGGGGAUGAUGUCAAAUCAUCAUGCCCUUUAUGACCUGGGCCACACACGUAAUACAAUGGCCGUUAACAGAAGGAAGCGAAGGCGCGAGCCGGAGCAAACCCCCAAAAACGGUCUCAGUUCGGAUUGCAGGCUGCAACUCGCCUGCAUGAAGUCGGAAUUGCUAGUAAUCGCGCAUCAGCCAUGGCGCGGUGAAUACGAACCCGGGCCUUGCAC
rnacentral:rRNA from 1 species